CUUUCUUAUUUUUGGCUGUGUCGGGUCUUAGUUGCAGCACACGGAAUCUUCGCUGCGGUGCAGGCUUCUUGCUAGUUGUGGUGUGUGCUUUUCUCUCACUAGUUGUGGCGCACAGGCUCCAGGGUUCGUGGGCUCUGUAGUUGUGGUGCAGGGGCUCUCUCAUUGAAGCGCGCGAGCUCAGUAGUUGUGGCACGUGGGCUUAGUUUUCCCGCAGCACGGGACCACCUCUUCUUUAUCUAUUCAUCUGUCAGUGGACACUUAGGUUGCUUCUGUGUCUUGGCUAUUGCAAACAAUGUUUUAAUGAUCAUCCUUGAAUAUGCUUCUUUGGACAGAGGUGUGAGUAUUUUUCUAGGGUAAAUGCCAAGAUGGAUUUACUGGGUUAUAGGAUAUUAAAUUUUAAUAAUUAGUUGUCUUUAUUUUAGCUGUCAUCUUUUAGCUCAGCUCAGCUCAAAUCGAGGAUUAAGGCAUGUUCCUAGCAGGGAGGCUAUUCAGAGAUCCUACUUCAGCAGUUUAAGAUUCACCUAAGCUGACUCUGCCGCUGCCCCACCUCUGACCAUGGUAACUCAUUGUCUGAGCUCCUGCUUUUGUGUUUCCUUCUCUGUCUCAGCGACUUGCCCUGAUUUCCUCUAUGCCUGAGUCUCUGAACACUGUACCUGUAUCUCUGAGACACUCAGCACCUAUCUGUUGGAAUCUUCACCAGUUACUGCUCUCCUCUCCUCCCCAGCACACUGGCCUGGAUGAACUCAUCAGUUCUUGGCUUCUACGCUGACCGACUUGUGGGAUUCUGCUCUCAUCUGUCCUUUCCCCUUAGUCUAGGGUACUAGUGCUACAGGACCCAUUAGAGUCCAUAUUCUUCAGCUUUAGUUAUGAUAUUAAUACCUUAAAGACCCCUUUUUUGGCCUCCUACUCUAUCCUGAAGUUCCGUCUGGACUCUGCCACUUCCCGGCCUGGUGGCUGUCCAAGCUUGCACAGUGUUACUGGGUUUCACAUUACCCCACAAUACUGAUUAUUUUCUAUUUCUAACCAUAUCUCUUUUUUUCCCCAGUGAGAAACUUCCUUUCUUUUUCUUUCCCCUGUUGUUUGAUAUCCUUCAAGGCUAGGUCUUCGUUCUGCUAUUCUUUCUAAGCACUUACUUCUUCAAUAUUUUCCUACUCUCACUUACCUUAACAGACUUAAAUACAGUUUAUUCCCAAGCAUAAAUAUCCAGCCUUCACCCUUCCCCAUGCUCCAUGAGUGCAUUUCCAAUUGUCUGCAUAACAUCUCCAUUUGAAUGUUUCCCAUCACUUCAAUUUCAAUAUGUCUAAACCCAACAGAAUCAUCUGCUCCAAUUUUACCCCAUCUGUUCCCUUUCCAGUUUUCUCUGUCUCUGUAAACGAUAUCACAUUUUCUUGAUCACCCAGCCUAGAAAUCUUGGACCUAUAUCUGAUUUCUUUAUUUCUUCACCUCUUAUAGACAAUCCAACAUGGAAUCCUGCUGAAGUUUUUCCUUUGAAAAUAACGUUGUGGGUGACUUCUGAAUGAAAAGUGGAUUGGGUACAUGCAUUCAUCUCUUUUCUGAAAUGCCACUAAAAUGGCAGCCAAGCACGAUCCACGACAGCAAGAAGACAAAGGCUUUGUUACAACAGAACAGAGCAGAGACAUCUGUGGCUGUCAGCUUCUUUAAAGCCAGUAAAUACAGCCAGUGAUGGUUCUUCCUUCCCAGAGCCCACCAUCAUGCUGGGUAGAGUGCUCUCCAGCAAAGACUUUGGAUUCAGGAGAGGGAACACCCAGCCCCAUGGGGAAGCCAGUGGAGGCACAUGGAUGGGGAGAGUCCCCCAGGCAAAGGGCUGCUGCCCGGCAGAGGCUCUUGGCCUGGCUCAUCCUGACCCCCAGCAAAGAUGACUAUUAAGUUGAAAAGGAUGUGUCCCCAAAACAGAGCAAGUCUGGACUGCACAAAAUUACCUUCCAUCUCGGAGCAAAUUACGACUUAAUAUGUUUCUGGGAGCACGGUGAGUUCUGCUUUGUAUUUUUACAUUUACUAAGAAAAUUUAGUAGCAUUUUUUCACACUAAAAUAGUCAAAGCUCUCUGAAAGUGACAAUCAUAAAAGCCUUCUCCCCUGAUAGAGAAAACAAGUUCAACACAAUGAAUUUAUGUACCUGUCAGGAAAUUUAAUGGGAGCAGUGGUCACCCUGAGUCCCCAGAUAGUAGAAUCCUGGGGGAAAGGAGGCAGAAUUGUCUGCAAGAUUCUGUUGUGUCUCCAGGGACCUCCUUUAAGCGUAAGGCUUAUCCUGGGGUUAAGAAAGUGGUGCAGCCCACAGAUAGCAAGUGAGAGUGGAUGGUUUCUCACUUUUCCUCUCCAGAACCUGCUGGCUCUCCUGCUGAAUGUGUGCGCACUGCUUAAUGACCCAGGUGGGACUGCCCCACUGGGGUAAAGCUUUCAUCCAGCUAAGGCUUCCUGAUAUAAUUAUUUGGGGAAAGUGGGUAGCAAGAUUUGAAAGUGAAUUCUUCACUGCAGAAUAUAAACCAAGUAAGGAUGAAUGCAGCAAUUACUACAUGACUUCCAAGUCUCAUAAACAGAGUUCUCAGAGCCUAGGCCUCCAGAAGAUGAAAACUGGUAUUCUUUUAUUUAUUUAUUCAACAAAGUCCUAUGGAGACUACCAGGAGUUAGACAGUCGGGUUCCAGGGGUUCAAACAAGAAAGACUUGAGCUCAUAAUCUAGACAAAGGCCAGAGAACACAUCUAAUACAGUAUGAUAAGGGCCAAGUAUGGCAGAUACAAGGCCACAUGGAAGCAGAGGAGAAGCACUUGUUAAGAGGAGGCGGGCAUAAUGAUUAGGAGAAGCUCCCAUGAUGCAGUGACAUUGAGAUGAGUCAGUAAGUAUGUUAGCCAGCUCCCUCGGCUGUGUACAGACUAUACUUCAUAACAGUUCUGCAAAUUCCCUCUAUGACCAUGUGGCUUACACAGAGAGUAAAGGGAAAAAACAAAACUGUGUAAGAGGGUGGAAUAAGAGACUCUGGUGUUGGAAGGCUGGGAAGGGAACACGAGCCUACCCAAUUAAGUAGGUAUUAUUCCCAUUUUACAGAUGAAAAAACUGAGAGUUGUAUUAAAGGUUGUUCAAGGUUGAGCCUAAGACAGUAUGACUCCAAGGUCUAAACUUUUUAUUCUGAAUAUUGAUUCUGUCUAGGUUUCAGGCUUGAGCUCCCUGUUUAAGCACUGGAAGUUUCAGAAAUGGUUUGGAGAAAAAGUUCUGUUUCCUGGCAGGAAUGGCAGUCUUGCAUGAGGUUUGAUAGAAGUGAUAUUAAGAGAUAGGUGUACUCUACUACACUUCAGAUCACAUUAUUCUCAGGGAAUAGUUUAUAAAGGAGGAACGAUUCUACAAAGAUUUUAAGUAUCCCUUUGAGUUGAUAUCUGCCUUCACGGUCACCUUCUUUGAAGACUGCAUCUGUACCACCGUCAGAGCAUGGAGAAUAUUUUUGAUGACACCAACAGUCACCUAAAUCCCCACCUAGUAUUGACUCAUUCUUUCUUCUGCUAACUAAAUUGAAUUGUUGACAAUUCUUUUACUAUCUACAGAUACCAUAGAAAGAUUGGCUCUCCAGAGUUCUUUUAUUUUUCUGACCAUUUUAAGCAUGAUUUUCUAGAGUCCUGCUUAGAUUUAUUGUUUUGUAUAUAUCAUUAAAAUUGAUUUACCAGGAAUUCCAUCCGCUUCUAUGAACCUUGAUUGGAGUCAUACAAAUUGAUGGUAGAGGCCACUGGAAUUUGGAAACAUGAGUGAAAGUCCUAGUCCUGCCAUUGGAUGGCGCUGAGUAUAUGUUUAAUUCCAUCUUAGGUUCUCUGUCAAACGGCGAUAAUAUGUAUCUCAUGGGCUUCAUUUUGAGGUUAAGUACCAUAACGUUCAUGAAAGAAUGGUGAGCUGCUCUUCAGAUUAUUCUCCUUUUUUCUUUUCUUUUUGGUGUCUAGGAAUAUCCCCAAAUGUCUUCUGAAUCAUUACAGAAAGAGUAAAUCAUGCCCCACGUGGUCUUUAACGGUACAGUUUUUAAGAUUUGUAAUCUGUAUAUGAUAGGUAGGGCAAAUUUAUUAACCAUAUUUAGUUCACUGGAACAUACUGUUCUGAAGAUAACUGGGAUGAUAAGAAUAUUACUGUAACUUAUUAAAGCCAAUUAAAACUUUCUGAAGAUUUAAGAUGUGAUUUUCUUCACUUUUAAAAAAAGAGUUUUAGCCUUGGGGUCCAUAGUUGCUGAGAUUCCAUUUUAAAAUAUUGUCGUUUUUUGAAAAAAUCUUUUCUCGUAUAAAACCUCUUAUCAGAUAAGUAGGACCCUACAAGAGGCUUUCACACUUCUUCUAUACCUUUGUUUACCUGAGUCCCCUGAAUUACCAUUUCUCUUCUGUUUUUUUUUUUUUUUUUUGCGGUACACGGGCCUCUCACUCUUGCGGCCUCUCCCAUUGCAGAGCACAGGCUCCGGACGCGCAGGCUCAGCGGCCAUGGCUCACGGGUUCAGCUGCUCCGCGGCAUGUGGGAUCUUCCAGGACCGGAGCACGAACCCAUAUCCCCUGCAUUGGCAGGCGGACUCCCAACCACUGUGCUACCAGGGAAGCCCUCUCUUCUGUUUAUUUUUUAAAGCUAGUGUUCUCAAAGUUUGAGGGUUUUUUUUUUCAGGUUUUUUUUCACUACCCACUAAUUUUGAAUAGAGUAUUUUGUUGUUUUUGCGUUGUCACUAUUGAUUUUAAGGAUGCAAGAGAUUUUAAUAUGUUGCUGGCCAAGCUGAAGAAUAAAUGGAGAAGGAGAGAUUGAAAAUGUAGGUGGAAGAGAUGGAGAGAAGGUGAUCAUGGAUGCAGAAGGAGUCAACAUCAGGAUGGUAGCAAACACAAAAAUCAAAGGUGGUCCCCACAAUGAUGGUAAUUAGCAAAUUAGCAAACAAGAGAACAGAGACACUUUGAGGCAGAGAGGAAAGCAUCUCUUAGCACACAACUGUUUUAGUCUUUUCAGGAAAGUAGAAGUGUGGUCAUAUGAUGAGAGCAAGUGAGUAUGGACUCAGAGCUUGAGAGCAUCUCUGGGGAAGGCAGUACGAUGUCCACCACCAAAAUGUAACAGUAUUGGGCAGCAGCCUAAUGGACCCAGCUGCAUUUUAAAAUGAUAAGUUUGCUGGGAAACCCAUGGAUAUAUUAAGGUAAUUUAUCUAGCAAUUCCAGUAACCAAGUAACCCAGGAGCUGGUAAGUGGUCAGGCAGUCGUGAGGAAAUGCCAAAGGUCUUGAUUUAAUAGUAAAUGCUGAUCAGGGAGACAACUGAAAUGAAGGAGGUGUAAAAUUGGGAAAACUAGAAGAGCUCCAAGGACUGGCAGUCCUGAUAAAGACAAGAGCAGAGUCUGUGAUUUUUCUGGUACUUUUAUUCUUCUCAGAAUGGGUACAGUGUGCUAAUACUAAAUCCCAGGAUUGAGGUAAAAGAUGCUGGCUUCUCACAUCUUGAAGAUGAGAAAACUAGUUUCCUUAUAAACUUCAUUAGAAGUCACUGUUUAACCAUAUGUUAAACCCUCCAAUUAUAGGUUUUGGUAUUAUUUCUCUGCUACACUGUACACCGUACAUCAUUAGUGGAUUAUAUCUGCACAUUUCCUUUCUUCCUUCUCCUCCCACUUGAUAAACUUUCCCCACAUGCACUCCUGAGAGUCCAUGUAACAUCUCUACAUUCUGUGCCAAGGGUGAGAUCUUUCAUUGCUGGCUAGAAGCUUACCAAACGUACUGUUAUUUAAGAGGAGGUUACCCGCAUACCUGAUCU